GACGUAGGGCGCGAGCGUUGUCCGGAAUUAUUGGGCGUAAAGAGCUCGUAGGCGGUCUGUCGCGUCGGAUGUGAAAAUCCAGGGCUCAACCCUGGACCUGCAUUCGAUACGGGCAGACUAGAGUUCGGUAGGGGAGACUGGAAUUCCUGGUGUAGCAGUGAAAUGCGCAGAUAUCAGGAGGAACACCGAUGGCGAAGGCAGGUCUCUGGGCCACUACUGACGCUGAGAAGCGAAAGCAUGGGGAGCGAACAGG
rnacentral:rRNA from 1 species